rnacentral:rRNA from 1 species
GAUCUAUGGCUCAGGAUGAACGCUAGCUACAGGCUUAACACAUGCAAGUCGAGGGGCAUCAGGAAGAAAGCUUGCUUUCUUUGCUGGCGACCGGCGCACGGGUGAGUAACACGUAUCCAACCUGCCCUUUACUCGGGGAUAGCCUUUCGAAAGAAAGAUUAAUACCCGAUGGGAUAAUCAUUCCGCAUGGUUUGAUUAUUAAAGGAUUCCGGUAAAGGAUGGGGAUGCGUUCCAUUAGGUUGUUGGUGAGGUAACGG